rnacentral:rRNA from 1 species
AUACGGAGGGUGCAAGCGUUAAUCGGAAUUACUGGGCGUAAAGGGUACGUAGGCGGUUAAAUAAGUUGGAUGGGAAAGCCCCGGGCUCAACCUGGGAACUGCAUUCAAAACUGUUUGACUAGAGUGUAUGAGAGGUUGGCGGAAUUCCAGGUGUAGCAGUGAAAUGCGUAGAUAUCUGGAGGAACAUCAGUGGCGAAGGCGGCCAACUGGCAUAACACUGACGCUGAGGUACGAAAGCGUGGGGAGCGAACGGGAUUAGAAACCCUAGUAGUCC